AUAAUAAUUAUCAUCAUCAUCAUCCUCAAAACAACAUCACAAUCAUCAUCAUAAUCAUCUCCAAAAUCAACAUCACAAUCAUCACCAUGAUAAUUAUAACUAUGUGGUCCCAAAGUGGACCUUGGUGAGAUGUUACUCACCUCAAAUCCAGCUGCGUCUUCGCACGCACAACACCAACUUUGUCAAUCACCUAGGUAGCACAAAACAACUUAGUGACCAACAAAACAAGCGAUCCACUUAAUGACCAAUUUUGUCAUUAACAACCAAGUGAUUACCCUUUACGCCAACUAGCUAAAACCUAACCCAAAGAUUUACCAUAACGAGGCAAUCCUCGUAUGAGACCUCCCAAGGUCACCGAAACCCAUGAACAGCCUAUGAUAACCAAAAAUGAUUACCUCUAUAUUCAGAUUCCAUAAACCAACACCGAAAGAAACGACUUCCGGUAAAGCCCCAACAUACUCAAGCAACAUUGAAACCUACAAUCUACAUGCUCACGUACUCGUAACAACUAGCAAAACCUAACAAUUACUCCUAACCACCCAACCUCUGCCGAAGGCGCCGUCACGCGCCGCCACACGCCGGCGGCGAGUGGGCCCCACGCGCCACCCUACCAACCUACGAAUUAGCCCAAGCUCACAACACAAAACUUGUAGGUUGAAGAGAGAGGAGCAUCUUUUAUACCUGAGGGUUCAACUAGUUCGGCCGGAAUCGGCCGGAAAUCACCGGAAACCCACCGGAAAAGUUGGAAUUCACCACCACCACUCCACACCGAGAGUCGAGCUUCAAGACCACCGGAAAACAAACCAGGACGCCAAGGAGCUCCUAUCCCAACCGUUUCCAAGCUGCGUCGCCGCCGUACACGGCCGGAACACCCUCGGGUCAAAGUCGGGUCCGCCACCCUCCACUGCAGUGUUCGAUUCUCUCAAACCAGCUUGAGUCGUCUUCACCCACCUACACAGGGAAGAGCACGCCGAGGAGAGGAAGAGUUUCUGACCGGUGCAGUCGUCUGGGUCGGCCGGAGAUGGCCGGAAAAUCCGGGUCGGGUCAACCGGGUCCGGGUCGGGUCAACUGAAAAACUUUGGCAGUGAGGGUGAGGCGCGGGAGAGAAGGGAAGAGAAAAAGAGGGUUUUCCGGAAAAUGAAAAGAGAACCCUGUCUUUUUCUUAUUUAACACAAAACCUCGGAAAACCACAAACUUCUGCUAACCAUAACUUCUUCAUACGAAGUCCGUUUUACGCGUGCCACAUGUCUACGAACUCGUAUCGCCAUGCUCUACAACUUUUGUGAAGGAUGUUUCCCGAGAAACCCAACCGAUUAAAAAGUCAACUCUUAACCCUUCAAAAUAGAGCAUUUUCACGGAACUAAAAACUCGACUACUUCCAGUCCACUCACUAAACCACAAAUCCAUACAACUCUUACUUAAAUAAUUUCCAAAAUAGUAUUAGAAA
rnacentral:lncRNA from 1 species